AGGACGAACGCUGGCGGCGUGCUUAACACAUGCAAGUCGAGCGGAAAGGCCCUUCGGGGUACUCGAGCGGCGAACGGGUGAGUAACACGUGAGUAAUCUGCCCCUAGCUCUGGGAUAGCUCCGGGAAACCGGGAUUAAUACCAGAUACGACCACUUUAGACAUCUGUUGUGGUGGAAAGAAUUUUGGCUAGGGAUGAGCUCGCGGCCUAUCAGCUUGUUGGUGAGGUAACGGCUCACCAAGGCGACGACGGGUAGCCGGCCUGAGAGGGCGACCGGCCACGACUGGGACUGAGACACGGCCCAGACUCCUACGGGAGGCAGCAGUGGGGAAUAUUGCGCAAUGGGCGAAAGCCUGACGCAGCGACGCCGCGUGGGGGAUGAAGGCCUUCGGGUUGUAAACCCCUUUCAGCAGGGACGAAGCGAAAGUGACGGUACCUGCAGAAGAAGCGCCGGCUAACUACGUGCCAGCAGCCGC
rnacentral:rRNA from 1 species